GACGAACGCUGUUGGCGUGCUUAACACAUGCAAGUCGAACGGAAAGGCCCUGCUUUUGUGGGGUGCUCGAGUGGCGAACGGGUGAGUAACACGUGAGUAACCUGCCCUUGACUUUGGGAUAACUUCAGGAAACUGGGGCUAAUACCGGAUAGGAGCUCCUGCUGCAUGGUGGGGGUUGGAAAGUUUCGGCGGUUGGGGAUGGACUCGCGGCUUAUCAGCUUGUUGGUGGGGUAGUGGCUUACCAAGGCUUUGACGGGUAGCCGGCCUGAGAGGGUGACCGGCCACAUUGGGACUGAGAUACGGCCCAGACUCCUACGGGAGGCAGCAGUGGGGAAUAUUGCACAAUGGGCGGAAGCCUGAUGCAGCAACGCCGCGUGCGGGAUGACGGCCUUCGGGUUGUAAACCGCUUUCGCCUGUGACGAAGCGUGAGUGACGGUAAUGGGUAAAGAAGCACCGGCUAACUACGUGCCAGCAGCCGCGGUGAUACGUAGGGUGCGAGCGUUGUCCGGAUUUAUUGGGCGUAAAGGGCUCGUAGGUGGUUGAUCGCGUCGGAAGUGUAAUCUUGGGGCUUAACCCUGAGCGUGCUUUCGAUACGGGUUGACUUGAGGAAGGUAGGGGAGAAUGGAAUUCCCUGGUGGAGCGGUGGAAUGCGCAGAUAUCAGGAGGAACACCAGUGGCGAAGGCGGUUCUCUGGGCCUUUCCUGACGCUGAGGAGCGAAAGCGUGGGGAGCGAACAGGCUUAGAUACCCUGGUAGUCCACGCUGUAAACGGUGGGUACUAGGUGUGGGGUCCAUUCCACGGGUUCCGUGCCGUAGCUAACGCUUUAAGUACCCCGCCUGGGGAGUACGGCCGCAAGGCUAAAACUCAAAGGAAUUGACGGGGCCCCGCACAAGCGGCGGAGCAUGCGGAUUAAUUCGAUGCAACGCGUAGAACCUUACCUGGGUUUGACAUGGAUCGGGAGUGCCCAGAGAUGGGUGUGCCUCUUUUGGGGUCGGUUCACAGGUGGUGCAUGCCUGUCGUCAGCUCGUGUCGUGAGAUGUUGGGUUAAGUCCCGCAACGAGCGCAACCCUUGUUCACUGUUGCCAGCACGUUAUGGUGGGGACUCAGUGGAGACCGCCGGGGUCAACUCGGAGGAAGGUGGGGAUGACGUCAAGUCAUCAUGCCCCUUAUGUCCAGGGCUUCACGCAUGCUACAAUGGCUGGUACAGAGAGUGGCGAGCCUGUGAGGGUGAGCGAAUCUCGGAAAGCCGGUCUCAGUUCGGAUUGGGGUCUGCAACUCGACCUCAUGAAGUCGGAGUCGCUAGUAAUCGCAGAUCAGCAACGCUGCGGUGAAUACGUUCCCGGG
rnacentral:rRNA from 1 species